CAUGUUCCAAUGGGUCACUCAAUCUUCCGCUUAAAGCUAUUGGUUGAUAGCCUUUAGCUUUUGGUCGAAGAUUGAGAUUUUGAUAGAUUCACUCAAACACGUAGCCGUGACACGAUGUGUGCGUAGCGGUGUUUGGGGAAUCGCUCGAGCCACCGACAAAGAACCUUGGGAUUGGUGACCCUUGGUUUCUAAGUCUGAAAGCUCGGGG
rnacentral:lncRNA from 1 species